CGCCCGGGCUUCGGCCUGGUUAUUCAUAACCCUUUGUUGUCCGACUCUGUUGCCUCCGGGGCGACCCUGCCUUCGGGCGGGGGCUCCGGGUGGACACUUCAAACUCUUGCGUAACUUUGCAGUCUGAGUAAACUUAAUUAAUACAUUAAAAUUUUUAACAACGGAUCUCUUGGUUCUGGCGUCGAUGAAGACCGCAACGAAAUGCGAUAAGUAAUGUGAAUUGCAGAAUUCAGUGAAUCAUCGAAUCUUUGACCGCACAUUGCGCCCCCUGGAAUUCCGGGGGGCAUGCCUGUUCGAGCGUCAUUUCACCACUCACGCCUCGCUUGGUAUUGGGCAACGCGGUCCGCCGCGUGCCUCAAAUCGUCCGGCUGGGUCUUCUGUCCCCUAAGCGUUGAGGAAACUAUUCACUAAAGGGUGUUCGGGAGGCUACGCCGUAAAACAACCCCCUUUCUAAGGUUGACCUCGGAUCACGUAGGGAUACCCCGCUGAAC
rnacentral:rRNA from 1 species